rnacentral:rRNA from 1 species
CAUAGUGAUCCGGUGGUUCUGAAUGGAAGGGCCAUCGCUCAACGGAUAAAAGGUACUCCGGGGAUAACAGGCUGAUACCGCCCAAGAGUUCAUAUCGACGGCGGUGUUUGGCACCUCGAUGUCGGCUCAUCACAUCCUGGGGCUGAAGUAGGUCCCAAGGGUAUGGCUGUUCGCCAUUUAAAGUGGUACGCGAGCUGGGUUUAGAACGUCGUGAGACAGUUCGGUCCCUAUCUGCCGUGGGCGCUGGAGAACUGAGGGGGGCUGCUCCUAGUACGAGAGGACCGGAGUGGACGCAUCACUGGUGUUCGGGUUGUCAUGCCAAUGGCACUGCCCGGUAGCUAAAUGCGGAAGAGAUAAGUGCUGAAAGCAUCUAAGCACGAAACUUGCCCCGA